CACCACACUCUCUCUCUCAUCCCUAAAAAAACUCUCUCACGAACUCACCUCGGUCCACCCCACCCCGGCUCGGCUCCUCUCCCCACGAUCUCCUCGCCGCCGCCACCACCCACGCCGGCCGGUUCCGGCGAGCACCGGCCGCGCACAACACUCCCCCAAGCUCCUGCCUUCCUCCGCUCCGAUCCCCAUGGAAGCCACCGCUGCCGCCUCCCUCGCGCGGACUCUCGCCUCCUCGCUGCUCCCCUGCAGCUCCCGCCGUAGCCGCGUGCGCGUGGCCGUGGCGCUGGAGCGGCGGAGGAGGGGUAGGGCGGUGCUUGGUUAGUGAUCCGUCGCCGCCGCUGGCUUUCCUCCUCCCCUCUCCUCUGUCGCCGCCGCUGGCUUUCCUCCUCCCCUCUCCUCUGCCGCCGCCGCUGGCUUUCUUUCCUGCGAGCGGGGAUCGUCCGUGAUCCGUCCGGAGCUCACUCCCCGCCUCCUACAUGUGUACGUGCUCGACCCCCUCACCUCAAUCGUCCGUCAUCCGUCCGGGAUUCAUGCUCGGACAUGGCCAGGCCCCCCGUUCUUGAUAUGGCCUAGUAUAUAUCUAGUUCCUGGUGUUCAGGUCGUGUGGCUUAACGGCCACCCCCUGAGCCUAGUUGGAUUUGUUUCAGGUGCUGCGUUGAUUAGGUCCUGGAUGAUUGGGUUGGGUACUGACCUAUGUCUGUAUGUAGCAACAGAUACAGGAGAAGUUUUCUGUCGGAUUAGUUUACAGUGAAUUUUCAGAUGACCGAGUUUAAGAUUGAGAAUUUGGUCAAAGCUAGGCUUUAAUCCUAGGGGAAAAUCUAUUAAAAAUAAAAGGAAGAACAAAUGAAAGCAGGGAACUAGACAGUCCCUACGCAGACGUAAGGCCACUUCAGAUUCUCACCUCCUUCAAUUCAGAAUUCAGAAAUUAUAAUUCCUAUGUUUUUUAUUUGCCCAUAAAAAUUGCAGCCAAUUCAAAAUGCACACACUAUCAUCUUAGUGGAACUAUUCAGUGCCUUCUUGACCUGGUUGACCAUCUAUCCUUUGCCCUCGUCAUCGAUAUAACAUCCAGUGUGUUUUGUUUACGCUCGUCUAACAUGCCAUUGCUCGCCAAACUGAAUGUGGGUGGGAGCAGCAUCAAUAAACUAAGUCUAGCAUGCCAUUGCUCUUAUCGUCAUACCACUGAACUGUGUUGUUGAAUUGGAUUGUGUAGAUUCAUUUAUGUAUGUUUAUCCACCAUGAACGAACAAACUCUAGGGGCAAAUUUAUCCUUUUUACCUUUUAUUUCUUAAUAUAUGCAUUAAACCAUGCCUCUUAUGAUUUUGGCUUCUCAAGUAUAUUUUUAUUGUUUGUGCGUCGUGCAUCUACGCUUGUGGAAAUAUUACAGCCCCACUGUUAGGAGUACAAGUUUAGUCCUGACAGACUGGGCGUAAGUGGAUUGGUUUUCCUUUUGAUUAGUAUAAGUAGAUGGUAGCAGACCUGGACAAAUAACAUUGGAUCUUAAUAUCUCAUGACAUUGAGUAGAGGACAAGAGAUCGGAUGAGUCUUGUUGUCACAUGUGGUUCGGAUGGUCAAAGUAGAUGGUAGUUGGAUCCGAGCACCCAGUCAGUGAUGCUCUGCUGCCCGAUUUAAAAUGGUGCUCUCUGGAGAGCUAACGUCGACCCCGGCGCUGGUGCAGGAGGUGUCCAUGGGCAACAUCCUCGGCGCAAAGCUCGGCUAGACCCCGGCCAGGCAGGCCUCUCUCCGCGUCGCUUGCCCAAUACCGUACCCUGCACCACUGUCAACAAAGUCUGCUCGUCGAGGACGAAGGGAUAUGGAUAACUAUCUGAAGGGAUGCAGGUUUCUUCCCAAACUUAAGAAUGAGAUACCCGGUGAAAGAAAUGCUCCCUAGUCCCUACAGGGAAAGUUUGAGCAGCCUAGAGAAUUUAGUACUGAUCAUGGGUGAUCGACGAGGACUACUGCGGCCCGAUGGGACUCAUGCUCUUCAACUACUCGGAGGCAGACUUCACCGUGAAGCCCCGCGACUGCGUCAUAUAGAUUAUCGUCUAGGUGAUUGCGGCACAGGAGGACCCCGGGGUGGAGGACCUCGACGCCACCGUCCGGAGGUCACGAGGUGGAAGACGACGCCACCGUCCGUAGUUCCUCAAGGUGAAGGACCUCGACGCUUUGUAGAUACAUCUAGGGAAGUGGUCUGGUUAGGUUGGUGGUGAAAUGCUAGGGAAGGUACGAACCUUUUGAUGAUGGUUGUGUGCGUCCUCGUGAUCUCUUUGAGUUGAGAUGUUCAAUGUUGCAUCCAUGAACACUGCAAGUGUUAAGAUGGUUCUCUGAAAUUUAUUUUGCACUGGACGUGUCUCUGA